GCACAGGUGGCCUGAGGGUCAGCUUACAAGUUGGAAUAUGACACACGGGGUUUGAGUUUCCUUGACGUUUGAGUGUGUCAAGGCCAGCUUAGGUGUACCUCAGACUGAGCCAGAACUCCAGAUUAGUUUCAGAGCUCUCCUGAUCUCCUGGAAGUGCUUAUGACCACAAGACGAGUCUCUGGGUCAGGACAGAUGAGGAGGUCAGGAAGCCCUCCCCAGCAGACCUCCCACCCGCUCCAGAUGGAGUUAAUAAUUGCCCCCGCCCAGCAACCUUUGCUGCUCUCACUUGCUCCUCUUGCUGCAGUCAUUACACAGCUCACUUUGUUUACAGGAUCAUCUUUCCUCCAUGCUCUGGGCUCCUUGAGAGCAGGGCUCUGUUUUAUUCUCAGUGUCCCUGGGCGUCUUUAGCAUCUAGUACUUUCCUAGCACCUAGCUGAGGAGGGACUCAAUUGAGUGGGAGAGAAGAGACGCCACAGCCAACCCCAGAUCCCUGCUGGUCUUCACAGAGGCAGCGUAUUUUCCCGUGGGUUGUCGAGACUCUCCUCCAGCUCUAUGAGCUGUGAACGGCUAAGAGAGCAGGAAACAUGUCCUAUUCACAUCAUCAGGCAAAAUGCCUGCCCCUACCCGAGGCCUCAAAAUUGGGUCCACCAUGUUUGACUGAGUUGAUCGGAGACGUAGAGAAUAUUUACCAUAUUCUGGGAGCCACGCAAGGUAUUGCAAGCCAAGGAUGAGCCCUGGUCUGAUGGAAUUUACAGUCAAGUGGAGAAGACAAACCAUUAGCUAUUAUGGAGACCUGUUGUGCUUUAGGCAUCACUGGGGCUCAGAAUGUGAUGGAACACUUAAAAUAAUGUUAAUAUGUUUUAAAUCAAUGAUUUUGUUCAUUUGUUUACUCUUGAAUGAGGAUGUGAUGAUAUCGCAGGACCCUAGGACAUCACUGGACCAAUCUUCAUUGACAGCCUAUCAUGUACAAAUAUCACACUGGAAAGUAGAAUAUAAUGCUGAUGAUACUGAACUUGAUUUCUGCUCUCACGUGGAUUACGUUCUUGCAGAAAG
rnacentral:lncRNA from 1 species